rnacentral:misc_RNA from 1 species
ACAGAUAACUCCAUUGACGCCAUGAUUGACUUGUCUUGCAUAAGCGUCCAUCAUAACGGGAGUGUUCAUUCAGUUUAGUCGAAAGAUUCGCGCGAUUAAGAAAUGUGUCGAUCGGCAGUGAUAGUUGUUGGACUGUUGGUGAAUGCGGUUUGUGGAUUACCGGCCAAGGAUUAUGUCCAGGAUAAUAACGUUACGGAAAUCCUUCCGGAAAUUUCGGAACUUGAAUUCAAAAAGUUAUCUGAAAGUCUUGGAAUUCCAAUUGACACGUUGCCGGUUUUAAGUGAAUCAGAACGGGCCAUCUUCGCGAAACUCAGUGUUGAAAAUAAGAAAUCUCAAAGAGCAAAGGAGGCGAACCGAACGAAGGAAGAAUCUAAGCAUGAGCUUGAAAUGUACAAAACGUGGACGGAGCGACAAAUCAACGCGCAAGAGGAGCAAUACUUGAAAUACAGAAAGUGGGCAGAAGAACAGUUUGACUCGAUGGAGCGAAAGCUGGAGCAGAUUGAGAAGCGGAAAGAUUUGCGGGAGGAAAUUGUCGGGGAUCAUAGAAAUGGUGAAGGAAACGGAACAGCGGAUGAGAGUCGCAUCGAGCAGAGAGUGCGUCAAAAAAGGGAAAAGGAACGAGAGGCGAAAGAGAAACGUAAAAGACCGAAGAGAGAGUACGAUGAUGAAAUUGAAUCGCUGGAAGACAAGUUGCAAAAAGCAGAGGAUAAACUUUUGCUACAGAGGGUUGAACAAGAGAAGGAAAAAAAAGACCGGGAACGCAAAGAGAGGAUUCUACUGGACACAGUGGAGCAAGAACGGCAGCAACGUGAGCAGCUGAAAACGGAUCAUGCUCGAGUGAUUCUAUUCAAGAAUACGGAAUUGAACAAGACACAGGAAUCGUUGAAUCAGGCUCAGGAGCAGUUGUCGUUACAGAAAGAGGAAUGCCGGAUGAGGAUAGAGGAAGAACACAGACGCGCGGAGGAAGAAUUGGAAAGGAAUAAAAUGACAGCGGAGCGGGAAAAUCAGCAGCUACGAAACAGAAUGUCGCUCGUAAUUGAAUCAAAAAUUGCGGAAUUGGAUAGGAAGCAAAAGUUGCUGUCGCAAGCUGAGCAAAGAUUGGAACAGCGGAGUAAUAAAUACGAAGAAGAGAAACGGGAAGAGAGGCAACGUACCGAUCAAGCGCUGAAAGAAACCAAGAAGAUGGAACAACGGAAACGGGAACAGAUGGAACAAGAGCAUGUCAAGGCGACUCGGAUGAUUGAGGAAAAGUUGGAAAAGACGGAGCAAGAGUUGGCGCGGAAGCGGGUGGAAUAUGAGAAGGAGCGGGAAAAUUGGACGCGUGCGGAAAAUUUGAUGCGGGAAAACAUGGAAAGCGAACUGCGACAACACGCAAGGCUUAUCAACGAGUACACUGAACAAGUUCGUACGCUGCAAGGAGAAACCCAGGAAUGCAUCAAGUUCUAUCAAGGAUGUAGAAGGAUUUCUCAUUCUUAGCAAAUUUCUAACCUCGGUGACUUGUCAAAUUCCCUGACAUUACCCGGUUUUCCAAACGCGAAUAGACAUUUUCCCAGGACUCGUUUCAACCUAAUUUCUUAUUAAAAAUUAGACAUUGGAUCAGACAUCAUUGCAAGUUAAGAUAGACCGAUUUUUCUUUCGGUAAAAUUUUGCUUAGACUCAAUGAGAAAAAAAAAAACAACCAAUAAACACUCAAAUUUUCAAAAACCAACGAAACGUGAGGGUGAGAACGACAAUCUGAGAUUAUUGACUGUUUCUAGUACUCGUUUAUAUUUUUCGUAAAUUUGACGUCGUGCAUAAAAUCAAUCUAUCAAUUCUUAACAUGCCUCCAAAAACCAUUUUUUUUUCCACUCGUACCCUUUUCACACGAAACUCCCUCGACUGCAUCACGGAGAGUAAUUUUCUAAAUUUCGAAGAAAAUAUUAACAUCCGAUUCGAAGUUUGAAAUAAAAAUUCAGUUUCGUGAUAUUUGUUUAUUUCGCAACCACUGUAAUCGAUCAACCGUUACAAAUUUUGGAAUUCUGACCUCGGAUCCGUUAUCGGUGACAAAAAAAAAAAAAAAAAAACUUACGCCCAAGAAUUUCUACCAAAAUCCGAAUAUUUUUAGAUCUUUUUUUGUGAUGUGAUUGUUGAUGUUGAUUUUGAAAAUCUUCUCGUACAAUUUCUAUAGUAUAAAUAGUAUUGAUACGAAGUCAAAUAUCAAUCGACGAUUCGCCGAAGUUACAUUCGUUGGGUCAAAGACGACGCCUGACGCCAUUUCCUCGUACAACGCAUUUCUCGCUACUGUUAAGGUAAAUAUUAAACACAAGACUUGACGAGGAAAACUCGCGGCGGGAAAUUCCGGGAACGGACUGCGGCCACUCCGAUAAAGAGACUGUUGAACUUUCAGGGAGUAACCGACGGUCCAAGAAGUCACCGUCAGUUCUCACACAAACGUGUCGUUCUCGUUCGGUAAAUCAGGGAUACUUUCGAAUGUUUAUCUGCGAUAAUCGUUGGUUAUCUAGGUUUGAUAUUGACCUUUGACCUCACGUAUCGCUGACACAUUUCCCUCUCCAAUGCCGACUUCCGCCACUCUCGGAGGACUGCGGCAAUAAUUAGGACCGCCGUAACCGAAAACCACGGCAGAGCUUGAUCGUCGGUCGAAACCAACGAACCUAAGCAUGUGCAAAGUCGUUCUGAUCCUCGUCCUGCUGGUGGGUGUGCCGCCUGCGGAUCGCCUCGACCUUCCCAGGAACCCGAAGACGAUCAUUCCCCGUCAAGGAGAGAAAUUUUGCGGUUCGUCGGCAUGCGUCGGGAGGUUAAAAUCUGUGGAAGGAUGCCUUCGAGAUGUCGCCGGAUGCCGAUAGUCAACGUCUGGAAGGGUCAAGCGACGGAUUUGAACGCCCCAAGAGUUCCGGGGAGUCCGUUCCAGUCCAGGACGCAGGGACAGAUCCGAAGUAAUUCAUCGUUGUGCUAUAAAAGCAACACUCAUCAAAAUCCAAAGACCAAGUAAGAGUUGGAGAUUUACUAACAAGGGAUGCAAUUCGCAUUUUUCGUUAAAUCAGCAACUGAUCAGCAAUACUACACGCAGAUCCGAUUCGUAUUCUUAGCAUUAUCACGCACUAGGGUAAUAAAAGAAAUUUUAAAUGUACGAAAUAUUUUUUUCAUUCUACUUACAAGCGAAUUUAUUGAAAUUGCAAUUGAAUCUGCCAUUUUUUGGAGAUACGUUAAUUUCGAAUUCGCUUGAAGAGACGAACAAAGAAGACAAAAAACCGAAUCAUUUUUCCCUAAGCUACCGACAUGUGGAAUAAAAUAAUACGUCAAACUCAAAUGAUCUUGAGUAAUUAACGUAAAACUGGCAAUGAUCCGUGAAUUCAUUUUCUUGCAUUUUCUAAUCAGCUUUGGUCAAAAGUAAGGAGAUGACCUAUGGAAGAAUGACUAAUCACGUCCGAUGCGAUAUAAAUAUCAACGUUUUUUUUCGACGUUCACAAACAUAUGCGGGUCAAAAUACAAACGUUAUCACGAGAUAUCCAUUGUAUUUUCAAUAACAAUACUGUUAGUAAUAAAUCAAGGAAAAAUUUUACCAA